rnacentral:rRNA from 1 species
UACAGAGGUGGCAAGCGUUGUUCGGAAUUACUGGGCGUAAAGGGCGCGUAGGCGGCUUUUUAAGUCAGACGUGAAAUCCCCCGGCUUAACCUGGGAACUGCGUCUGAUACUGGGAAGCUUGAGUUCGGGAGAGGGAUGUAGAAUUCCAGGUGUAGCGGUGAAAUGCGUAGAUAUCUGGAGGAAUACCGGUGGCGAAGGCGGCAUCCUGGACCGAAACUGACGCUGAGGCGCGAAAGCUAGGGGAGCGAACAGG